CGCAAUGGGCGAAAGCCUGACGGAGCGACGCCGCGUGAUGGAUGAAGUCCUUCGGGACGUAAACAUCUUUUAUGAGGGAGGAAUUUUUGACGUUACCUCAUGAAUAAGGGGCUCCUAACUCUGUGCCAGCAGGAGCGGUAAUACAGAGGCCCCAAGCGUUACCCGGAUUUAUUGGGCGUAAAGGGUGCGUAGGCGGUCAUAUUAGUCACUUGUUAAAUCUCCCGGCUCAACCGGGAUCCUGCAAGUGAAACGGUAUGACUCGAGGAUGUGAGAGGUGAUCGGAACUCACGGUGUAGGGGUGAAAUCCGUUGAUAUCGUGGGGAACACCAAAAGCGAAGGCAGAUCACUGGCACAUUCCUGACGCUGAAGCACGAAAGCGU
rnacentral:rRNA from 1 species